GGGACAAGUGGAUUGCUUUCAAGUUUUGGUGUUUGUGAAUGAUGAUGCUUUGAGUGCAAAUGUAUAGACACCCUACAUUUAGCUAUUUUGAACAUAUGCAGUAAUUAAAUGUUGAAUUGCUGGAUUAUAUGGAGCCCUUGUCGGUCAGAUAAGGGAGUUGGAUCCCCUGAAAUUGGAUUUAUAGGGAAUUGUGAGCUGCCAUAGAUGCUGAGCCAGGUGCCAUCAUGUAGCAGGCAAAGGAGUUGCAGUUUUGGGUGCCAGAGCUCUGAAGAGAGGUCUUACAAGCAAAAGAAAAUCCAAUGUUGAUACAUGCAUUCUCUCUCGAGGUUCUGGGGUGGGAUCUGGGCCUUCUCAUUCCAGGUCCAGGGCCACCUGUAUUCCUU
rnacentral:lncRNA from 1 species